AGAUAUGCUGAGGGCGAUCUGGCUGCGACAUCUGUCACCCCACUGAUCGCCAGGGUUGAUUCGGCUGAUCUGGCUGGCUAGGCGGGUGUCCCCUUCCUCCCUCACCGCUCCAUGUGCGUCCCUCCCGAAGCUGCGCGCUCGGUGGAAGAGGACGACCAUCCCAGAUAGAAGGAGUGUACCGUUCUUCGGUCAAGGGUAUACGAUAGCUGCGCUCCCCUGCUAGAACCUCCAAACAAGCGCAGAUAUGCUGAUGACACAACCUUGAUGGCAGAAAGUAAGGAGGAAUUAAAGAACCUUUUAAU